rnacentral:rRNA from 1 species
GAGGCAUGUGCACGCUUCGCGUUUUUCUGAUAACCAACCUGUGAACCUAAUGUAGGAUGCCUCUCCUCCGGGAGGGGGGACCUACGUCUUCUCAACAUCUUCGUGUAGAAAGUCUUUGAAUGUUUACUAUCAUCGAGUCGCGACUUCUAGGAGACGCGAUUCUUUGAGAUAAAAGUUAUUACAACUUUCAGCAACGGAUCUCUUGGCUCUCGCAUCGAUGAAGAACGCAGCGAAAAGCGAUAUGUAAUGUGAAUUGCAGAUCUACAGUGAAUCAUCGAAUCUUUGAACGCACCUUGCGCUCCUCGGUGUUCCGAGGAGCAUGCCUGUUUGAGUGUCAGUAAAUUCUCAACCCCUCUCGAUCUUCUUCGAAGAGGGCGCUUGGAUAGUGGAGGUUGCCGGAGACUCGGAUUCGUUCCGAGACUCGGGCUCUUCUGAAAUGCAUCGGCUUGCGGUCGACUUUCGACUAUGCGCGACAAGGCUUUCGGCGUGAUAAUGAUCGCCGUUCGCCGAAGCGCAUGACAGAAGGUUCCGYGCCUCUAACGCGUCGACCGCUUACUAUCUCUCCGGAGAGAACGGCGUCUUCCUAAUAGACUUUUGACCUCAAAUCAGG